UGUUUUGUGCUUGAAUCU
rnacentral:siRNA from 1 species